rnacentral:rRNA from 1 species
GGGUGAGUAACACGUGAGUAACCUACCCAGAUGUGGGGGAUACCUUGCCGAAAGGUGAGUUAAUACCGCAUACGAUCGUCGGGCCCACGGGCCUGGCGCUGAAAGCGGGGUCGCAAGGCCUCGCGCGUCUGGAUGGACUCGCGCCCGAUUAGCUAGUUGGUGAGGUAACGGCUCACCAAGGCAACGAUCGGUAGCCGGCCUGAGAGGGUGAUCGGCCACACUGGAACUGAGACACGGUCCAGACUCCUACGGGAGGCAGCAGUGGGGAAUCUUGCGCAAUGGGCGAAAGCCUGACGCAGCAACGCCGCGUGGAGGAUUAAGGUCCUUGGAUUGUAAACUCCUGUCGAGCGGGAAGAAUGGCUCGGGUGCUAAUACCAUCCGGGUUUGACUGUACCGCGAGAGGAAGCCCCGGCUAACUCUGUGCCAGCAGCUGCGGUAAUACAGAGGGGGAAAGCGUUAUUCGGAAUUAUUGGGCGUAAAGGGCGCGUAGGCGGCCUCGUAAGUCGAAGGUGAAAUCCCCGAGCUCAACUCGGGAACUGCUUUAGAUACUGCAUGCCUUGAGUCCGGGAGGGGAGAGCGGAAUUCCCAGUGUAGCGCUGAAAUGCGUAGAUAUUGGUAGGAACAUCGGUGGCGAAGGCUGCUCUCUGGACUGGGUUCUGACGCUGAGGCGCGAAAGCGUGCGUAGCAAACAGGAUUAGAUACCCUGCUAGUCCACGCCCUAAACGAUGUCUACUAGUUGUUGGAGGAGUGAAAUCCUUUUAAUAACGAAGCUAACGCGUGAAGUAGACCGCCUGGGGUAGUACUGGUCGCAAGAUUA